GACGAACGCUGGCGGCGUGCUUAACACAUGCAAGUCGAGCGGUAAGGCCCUUUCGGGGGUACGACGAGCGGCGAACGGGUGAGUAACACGUGGGUGACCUGCCCUCAGCUCUGGGAUAAGCCUGGGAAACGUAGGGUCUAAUACUGGAUAUGACUCCACGGUGCAUGUCGUGGGGUGGAAAGCCUUGUGCGGCUGAGGAUGGGCCCGCGGCCUAUCAGCUUGUUGGUGGGGGAUGGCCUACCAAGGCGACGACGGGUAGCCGGCCUGAGAGGGCGACCGGCCACACUGGGACUGAGACACGGCCCAGACUCCUACGGGAGGCAGCAGUAGGGAAUCUUCCGCAAUGGACGAAAGUCUGACGGAGCAACGCCGCGUGAGCGAAGAAGGCCUCGGUCGUAA
rnacentral:rRNA from 1 species